AAUCAGGUUCCUUUAGGAACCACACAUGUCAGAUGUUCUGUGGAUU
rfam:Patagioenas fasciata monilis isolate BTP2013 Sc31e1R_75, whole genome shotgun sequence.